CCAAACGCAAAUUGUCACCUUUGACAUUUGCGAUCUAAAUUAAUAAACUUUAUAUUUUGGCCUUAUUUCAAUAUUUGGUUUUAUUUCGAAGGUAAAUAUAUUUUCAUUUUAUGUUAUUUUUAAUUGUCAAUUUUAAGAACUGUUUAUAUUGUGAGUUUAACCUUUGACAUUUGCGAUCUAAAUUAAUAAACUUUAUAUUUUGGCCUU
rnacentral:sRNA from 1 species